CCUACGGGAGGCAGCAGUGAGGAAUAUUGGUCAAUGGACGCAAGUCUGAACCAGCCAUGCCGCGUGCAGGAAGACGGCUCUAUGAGUUGUAAACUGCUUUUGUACGAGGGUAAAUCCCGAUACGUGUAUCGGGUUGAAAGUAUCGUACGAAUAAGGAUCGGCUAACUCCGUGCCAGCAGCCGCGGUAAUACGGAGGAUUCAAGCGUUAUCCGGAUUUAUUGGGUUUAAAGGGUGCGUAGGCGGUUCGAUAAGUUAGAGGUGAAAUCCCGGGGCUCAACUCCGGCACUGCCUCUGAUACUGUCGGGCUAGAGUUUAGUUGCGGUAGGCGGAAUGUAUGGUGUAGCGGUGAAAUGCAUAGAUAUCACGCAGAACUCCGAUUGCGAAGGCAGCAUACCGGCGCUCAACUGACGCUCAUGCACGAAAGUGUGGGUAUCGAACAGGAUUAGAUACACCAGUAGUC
rnacentral:rRNA from 1 species